UACGUAGGUGGCGAGCGGUGUCCGGAAUUACUGGGUGUAAAGGGCGUGUAGGCGGGAAUGUAAGUCAGAUGUGAAAUUCCGAGGCUCAACCUCGGCGCUGCAUCUGAAACUAUAUUUCUUGAGUGCUGGAGAGGAAAGCGGAAUUCCUAGUGUAGCGGUGAAAUGCGUAGAUAUUAGGAGGAACACCAGUGGCGAAGGCGGCUUUCUGGACAGUAACUGACGCUGAGGCGCGAAAGCGUGGGGAGCAAACAGG
rnacentral:rRNA from 1 species